rnacentral:rRNA from 1 species
CCUACGGGGGGCAGCAGUGAGGAAUAUUGGUCAAUGGACGAGAGUCUGAACCAGCCAAGUAGCGUGAAGGAUGACUGCCCUAUGGGUUGUAAACUUCUUUUAUAAAGGAAUAAAACGAGGCACGUGUGCCUUUUUGCAUGUACUUUAUGAAUAAGGAUCGGCUAACUCCGUGCCAGCAGCCGCGGUAAUACGGAGGAUCCGAGCGUUAUCCGGAUUUAUUGGGUUUAAAGGGAGCGUAGAUGGGUUGUUAAGUCAGUUGUGAAAGUUUGCGGCUCAACCGUAAAAUUGCAAUUGAUACUGGCAGUCUAGAGUACAGUUGAGGUAGGCGGAAUUCGUGGUGUAGCGGUGAAAUGCGUAGAUAUCACGAAGAACCCCGAUUGCGAAGGCAGCUUACUAAACUGUGACUGACAUUGAUGCUCGAAAGUGUGGGUAUCAAACAGGAUUAGAUACCCCAGUAGUC